GAUGAACGCUGGCGGCGUGCCUAAUACAUGCAAGUCGAGCGAACGGACGAGAAGCUUGCUUCUCUGAUGUUAGCGGCGGACGGGUGAGUAACACGUGGAUAACCUACCUAUAAGACUGGGAUAACUUCGGGAAACCGGAGCUAAUACCGGAUAAUAUUUUGAACCGCAUGGUUCAAAAGUGGAAGACGGUCUUGCUGUCACUUAUAGAUGGAUCCGCGCUACAUUAGCUAGUUGGUAAGGUAACGGCUUACCAAGGCAACGAUGCAUAGCCGACCUGAGAGGGUGAUCGGCCACACUGGAACUGAGACACGGUCCAGACUCCUACGGGAGGCAGCAGUAGGGAAUCUUCCGCAAUGGGCGAAAGCCUGACGGAGCAACGCCGCGUGAGUGAUGAAGGUCUUCGGAUCGUAAAACUCUGUUAUUAGGGAAGAACAUAUGUGUAAGUAACUGUGCACAUCUUGACGGUACCUAAUCAGAAAGCCACGGCUAACUACGUG
rnacentral:rRNA from 1 species